CGGUCAAAAAAUGUCAUAGUAUAGUAUGGCUUCAAAAAUGGUCAAAAAAUGUCAUAGUAUAGUAUGGCGUCAAAAAACAUGAAAAAAUGUCAUAGUAUAGUAUGGCGUCAAAAACGGUCAAAAAAUGUCAUAGUAUAGUAUGGCGUCAAAAAUCAUGAAAAAAUGUCAUAGUAUAGUAUGGCGUCAAAAAUGGUCAAAAAAUGUCAUAGUAUAGUAUGGCGUCAAAAACGGUCAAAAAAUGUCAUAGUAUAGUAUGGCGUCAAAAAUCAUGAAAAAAUGUCAUAGUAUAGUAUGGCGUCAAAAAUGGUCAAAAAAUGUCAUAGUAUAGUAUGGCGUCAAAAACGGUCAAAAAAUGUCAUAGUAUAGUAUGGCGUC